UACGAAGGGGGCUAGCGUUGUUCGGAUUUACUGGGCGUAAAGCGCACGUAGGCGGUUUGUUAAGUCAGAGGUGAAAUCCCGGAGCUCAACUCCGGAACUGCCUUUGAUACUGGCAAGCUAGAGUCCGGAAGAGGUAAGUGGAACUCCUAGUGUAGAGGUGAAUUCGUAGAUAUUCAGAAGAACACCAGGUGGCGAAGGCGG
rnacentral:rRNA from 1 species